rnacentral:rRNA from 1 species
AUACGUAGGUGGCAAGCGUUGUCCGGAAUUAUUGGGCGUAAAGCGCGCGCAGGUGGUUCCUUAAGUCUGAUGUGAAAGCCUCCGGCCCAACCGGGGAGGGUCAGUGGAAACUGGGGAACUUGAGUGCAGAAGAGGAUAGUGGAAUUUCAAGUGUAGCGGUGAAAUGCGUAGUGAUUUGGAGGAACACCGGUGGCGAAGGCGACUGUCUGGUCUGUACCUGACACUGAGGCACGAAAGCGUGGGGGGCAAACAGAAUUAGAUACCCUGGUAGUCCACGCCGUAAACGAUGAGUGCUAAGUGUUGGGGGGUUACCGCCCCUCAGUGCUGCAGCUAACGCAUUAAGCACUCCGCCUGGGGAGUACGGUCGCAAGACUGAAACUCAAAUGAAUUGGCGGGG